rnacentral:rRNA from 1 species
AGCAGUCGCCGCGGUAAUACGAAGGGUGCAAGCGCUAAUCGGAAUUACUGGGCGUAAAGCGUGCGUAGGCGGUUUGUUAAGUCUGUUGUGAAAUCCCCGGGCUCAACCUGGGAAUGGCAAUGGAUACUGGCAAGCUAGAGUGUGUCAGAGGAUGGUGGAAUUCCCGGUGUAGCGGUGAAAUGCGUAGAGAUCUGGAGGAACAUCAGUGGCGAAGGCGGCCAUCUGGGACAACACUGACGCUGAGGCACGAAAGCGUGGGGAGCAAACAGGAUUAGAGACCCCCGUAGUCCUGUCUCUUAUCAC